rnacentral:rRNA from 1 species
CUUAACACAUGCAAGUCGAACGGAAAGGCCCUUCGGGGUACUCGAGUGGCGAACGGGUGAGUAACACGUGGGUGAUCUGCCCUGCACUUUGGGAUAAGCCUGGGAAACUGGGUCUAAUACCGAAUAUGAUCAUUGGCUUCAUGGCUGGUGGUGGAAAGCUUUUGCGGUGUGGGAUGGGCCCGCGGCCUAUCAGCUUGUUGGUGGGGUAAUGGCCUACCAAGGCGACGACGGGUAGCCGGCCUGAGAGGGUGACCGGCCACACUGGGACUGAGAUACGGCCCAGACUCCUACGGGAGGCAGCAGUGGGGAAUAUUGCACAAUGGGCGCAAGCCUGAUGCAGCGACGCCGCGUGAGGGAUGACGGCCUUCGGGUUGUAAACCUCUUUCAAUAGGGACGAAGCGCAAGUGACGGUACCUAUAGAAGAAGGACCGGCCAACUACGUGCCAGCAGCCGCGGUAAUACGUAGGGUCCGAGCGUUGUCCGGAAUUACUGGGCGUAAAGAGCUCGUAGGUGGUUUGUCGCGUUGUUCGUGAAAACUCACAGCUUAACUGUGGGCGUGCGGGCGAUACGGGCAGACUAGAGUACUGCAGGGGAGACUGGAAUUCCUGGUGUAGCGGUGGAAUGCGCAGAUAUCAGGAGGAACACCGGUGGCGAAGGCGGGUCUCUGGGCAGUAACUGACGCUGAGGAGCGAAAGCGUGGGGAGCGAACAGGAUUAGAUACCCUGGUAGUCCACGCCGUAAACGGUGGGUACUAGGUGUGGGUUUCCUUCCUUGGGAUCCGUGCCGUAGCUAACGCAUUAAGUACCCCGCCUGGGGAGUACGGCCGCAAGGCUAAAACUCAAAGGAAUUGACGGGGGCCCGCACAAGCGGCGGAGCAUGUGGAUUAAUUCGAUGCAACGCGAAGAACCUUACCUGGGUUUGACAUGCACAGGACGCC